GGUUGGAUGUGAAGCCCACUACGCUGUGAGGGUUUGGACACCACCUACCCAGAAAUCAAAUGGUUCAAUGAGGAGAAUUUGAGGAGAGAAGGCAAGAAAGGGAGGAAGAGUUUCUGGNGAUAUUAGAUUAAAUUUAGUUUUACAGUUUUUUCUUCAUUCUUCUUCAAAUAAGGGUUGAGAAUUUCUCAAAAAUCACAAAACAGGAGCGAUAAAGAAAUUAUGAUGAUAACGAACCUGGAUGAACUCAGGACACAUAAAAGACAAGUCUCCGACCAUAAAUUCCGCCCCUUGAAAUACGCGACGAGCUCGAACCAUUUUGUGGNNGCACUGGACGACGGUUUUNGCAGUGNGGGAAGCNUUGGGGCACAGGGCANUGAUGGCAUCGGCAACCCCUUGCCAGUGGGUGGCUUUGAGGUUGGUGUGGCCGAGGGAGUACCACUUGUCGCGGCGUCGAUGAGGGCGAAGGUUUCCUCCGAGGUCCAGAAUGGCGGGGGGAGAUGGCGGAAGGAGGUGGAGGGAAGGGCGGUGAGAGUGAGGAGGAGGUGUCACGGUUUACUCCAUGCAGUGUAGUUCUUCGGAAGAAAAAUGGGAAUAAUCGCAGGGGCUAACCCGGCCCUGAAUCACUUACAACCCACUUGAUGGGGGCUUUGGGGGUCGGGGGCUUAAAAAAAGCCCCCUAAUACGUGGGUCAAUAAAAGUGGGCCAAAUAUAAAAAGGGCCAGGGUCAGCCUUAGGNCUUUAAAAAAUCCUGACAGCUCUACUUGUGGUACUGAUUUUAGUCAAUUUGUAGUUUAGUUUAGCUUUUUAGUUUAGUUUAGCUUUUUANUUAUGUUCUAUUGUGUUUACUUCUCUUAGUUUUGUUCAUAUACAUUGUGUGCUCUGUUGAGUUUAGUUUUUUAGUUCUAUAUUGUCAUAUACAUUUUUGUUCAAUUUUAGUUCUUUUUCAUUUCUGUUUUGAAUAAUCCUGAUGUUGAUUGUCCUGUACAUAUGUUUGUGUUGUUAGGAGUCUUACCCACUCACACAUUNAGGGCAAUGUGCCUCUUAAAUGGGUAGUGGUUUAAAUUUUUUGUUUUGAUGUAAAUAUACCCUGUUUAGUAUUUUUUUUAGUAAUAAUUAGGGGAAAUUUUUUUCAGAAGCUGUUUCUACUUUGGUUUUGUGUUUGGGAGUUCAUAAAUACCCAGUGUAGAUAGCUAUUGUAGUCCUAGUCUUUAAAUAUUUAAUUCUUGUUUGUAAAUACUUAGUUGUUUUGUUGUUUUAGGAUUCAUUUUGGUUGUUUUAUAGGAUAAUUUAGAUUUUAUUUGGUUCAUAGUUUCUGUAGUAAGAAUUUGUUUUAGUUUCUCUUUUGUUUCUUCUAUUUUUGUUUCUUGUUUCACAUUCUGUUUUAGUCUUCAUUUAGAAAUUCCCUUAGGUGUUUUUCAUUUUUCUUAGAUUNCGUUUCAGCUUGUAAAUAGAAAUUACUUUAGGAUUUGCUGGUUUUAAGAUUU
rnacentral:lncRNA from 1 species